AAAAAAGCAGGGACCUAUUGCCUUGGUGAAUAGACCUCUCGUAUAUGUCAGGGAAAUUAUUAGCCUUGUUCUUGGGUGAACCUCUGUUCUGUAAUUUGUUUACCGUGGCUGAAGGUUCAGUAAAUGACGCGACAUUU